CUUGUUAAAAUAUAAUCCUAGGUAUUUUUGAUGUUGUUGUAUAUAGUCUAGCCUUUUGCAUUUCACUUUACCUCUUUGAUGGUGAACAGGAAUGCAACUGGCAUUUGCAUAUAAGGUGAAUAUUAAUAUCUCUAAUCUAAUUCUACUAAUUUGGAGAUUAUUUUGGAUUUUCUAUAAACACAAUUAUUUUGUGUAAAAAUAAUUUUUUUCCACUUGUCAACAUUUUUAUCACUUUACUUGGCUAAAUGCAUUAUUUCCUGUAGUGUAAUUAUAAGGAAUGAGAACAGGUAUUCUUGUCUUGUUCUCAAUAUUAGAGGCAACACUUACAAUAUUUAAUGACUAAAUGUGACAUUUUUCUAAGUUUUUAGUGGAUACCCUUUAUUAGAUUAAAAGCCUUUACUUCUGGCAAGGCACAGUGGUGCAUGCCUAUAAUCCCAGUGGCUCAGUAGGCUGAGAUAGGUGGAGGCUCAUGAGAUCAAAGCCAGCCUCAGCAAAGGAGAGACACUAAGCAACUCAGUGAGACCCUGUCUCUAAAUAAAAAUAAAAAUAGAGCUGGGGAUGUGGCUUGAUGCCCCUGAGUUCCAUCUCCAGUACCCCCUCCCCUGCCAAAAAAGAUCCUUUACUUGUAUUCCAAGUUUGCUAAUAUUUAUAUCAUGAAUAGAUGUUACAUUUUAUCAAAAGAUCUUCUGCUUCUAUUCAGAUAAUUAUAUUCUACUCAUUUAAUAAAUUAUAUUAAUUGCUUUUUUAAAUUGAAAUUUUUGAAUAAAUACUGAUCACAAUAUAGUGUGAUUUAUGUAUUGCAAUACUUAACAUUUUGUUUUCAAACCACUAGGAGUGAGAUGUUUGGGUUAUGUGUUAAAUAUGUGUGUAACUUUCUAAGAUAUUGUUGGCACAUGGCUUUUCAAAGUGGCGGUGAUAUUAUCACACCAGCAAUGAAUGAGAAAACUUGUUGCAAUUCAUUCUUACCAGAGUUUUGCAUUGUCAGGUGUUUCAAAAUUUAACUAUUCUAAUAGAUGCAUGACUAACUGUGUCUUGCUAAGGUUUUAAUUUGCAUUUCCCUAACAAUCUUUCCUUUAUAUUUGCCUCUAGAAUUUUUACCCUUGUGUACUUUACACUGAGAUUUCCUUCCCAUUCUCAAUUUUUGUGAAUGUAUGAGGUGUGUGUUGAGGUGUAUAUUUAUUGACAUGUGGAUGUCCAAUUCUUUCAGCACCAUUUGUUAAGAGACUAUCAUUUCUCCAUUCGUUUGUCACUAUCAUCACAUGCAGGCUGAGUAUGUAUGUGAGGCCCUGUACUGCCUUUGUUUUUCCUUUCUACAAAUCUGUGUGUCUGUUCUUGACUAAUAUGGUGUUACAGUAUAUCUUGUCGUUGUGUGAAUCUUCCAAUUUUGUUCUGCAGUUUUAGGGUAUUUGAUGUUUUUUAAAUUUUUAUUUUUUUCUAGUAAAUCAUUAGAUUGAACUGAGAAAUGGACAUAUUUAUUAUGUUGAUUCUUC
rnacentral:lncRNA from 1 species